rnacentral:rRNA from 1 species
AUUGAACGCUGGCGGCAGGCCUAACACAUGCAAGUCGAACGAGUGGCGGACGGGUGAGUAAUGUCUGGGAAACUGCCUGAUGGUGGGGGAUAACUACUGGAAACGGUAGCUAAUACCGCAUACCAUCAGAUGUGCCCAGAGGGGAUUAGCUAGUUGGUGGGGUAACGGCUCACCAAGGCGACGAUCACUAGUUGGUCUGAGAGGAUGACCAGCCAAACGGGAACUGAGGCACGGACCAGACUCCUACGGGAGGCAGCAGUGGGGAAUAGUGCACAAUGGGCGAAAGCCUGAUGCAGCCAUGCCGCGUGUAUGAAGAAGGCCUUCGGGUUGUAGAGUACUUUCAGCGGGGAGGCGUUACCCGCAGAAGAAGCACCGGCUAACUCCGUGCCAGCAGCCGCGGUAAUUC